rnacentral:rRNA from 1 species
GACGAACGCUGGCGGCAUGCCUAAUACAUGCAAGUCGAGCGAACAGAUGAAGUGCUUGCACUUCUGACGUUAGCGGCGAACGGGUGAGUAACACGUAAGGAAUCUACCUAUAAGCGGGGGAUAACAUUCGGAAACGGGUGCUAAUACCGCAUAAUAUCUUCUUCCGCAUGGAAGAAGAUUGAAAGACGGCUCUGCGGUCACGUAUAGAUGACCUUGCGGUGCAUUAGUUAGUUGGUGGGGUAAUGGCCUACCAAGACGAUGAUGCAUAGCCGACAUGAGAGGGUGAUCGGCCACAUUGGGACUGAGACACGGCCCAAACUCCUACGGGAGGCAGCAGUAGGGAAUCUUCCGCAAUGGGCGAAAGCCUGACGGAGCAAUGCCGCGUGAGUGAAGAAGGCCUUCGGGUCGUAAAACUCUGUUAUAAGAGAAGAACAAAUUGUAGAGUAACUGCUACAGUCUUGACGGUAUCUUAUCAGAAAGCCACGGCUAACUACGUGCCAGCAGCCGCCGUAA